GGGCUGACGGUACCUGAGGAAUAAGCACCGGCUAACUUCGUGCCAGCAGCCGCGGUAAUACGAAGGGUGCAAGUGUUAAUCGGAAUUACUGGGCGUAAAGGGUGCGUAGGCGGUUGUUUAAGUCUGCCGUGAAAUCCCCGGGCUCAACCUGGGAAUGGCGGUGGAUACUGGGCAGCUAGAGUGUGUCAGAGGAUGGUGGAAUUCCCGGUGUAGCGGUGAAAUGCGUAGAGAUCGGGAGGAACAUCAGUGGCGAAGGCGGCCAUCUGGGACAACACUGACGCUGAAGCACGAAAGCGUGGGGAGCAAACAGGAUUAGAUACCCUGGUAGUCCACGCCCUAAACGAUGCGAACUGGAUGUUGGUUUCAACUCGGAGAUCAGUGUCGAAGCUAACGCGUUAAGUUCGCCGCCUGGGGAGUACGGUCGCAAGACUGAAACUCAAAGGAAUUGACGG
rnacentral:rRNA from 1 species